GCCAGACUCCUACGGGAGGCAGCAGUGGGGAAUAUUGCACAAUGGGGGAAACCCUGAUGCAGCAACGCCGCGUGAGUGAAGAAGUAUUUCGGUAUGUAAAGCUCUAUCAGCAGGGAAGAAGAAAGACGGUACCUGACUAAGAAGCCCCGGCUAACUACGUGCCAGCAGCCGCGGUAAUACGUAGGGGGCAAGCGUUAUCCGGAUUUACUGGGUGUAAAGGGAGCGUAGACGGCGGCGCAAGUCCGGAGUGAAAGCCCACGGCCCAACCGUGGGACUGCUCUGGAAACUGUGCGGCUUGAGUGCGGGAGGGGCAGGCGGAAUUCCUAGUGUAGCGGUGAAAUGCGUAGAUAUUAGGAGGAACACCAGUGGCGAAGGCGGCCUGCUGGACGACAACUGACGGUGAGGCGCGAAAGCGUGGGGAGCAAACAGGAUUAGAUACCCCUGUA
rnacentral:rRNA from 1 species